rnacentral:lncRNA from 1 species
UGUGUUGAAAAUUACUUCAACACACUGUGAACCUGCAUGGAUCCUAACCGGAUCUCUUUGACCCGUUUUACCUCUUAUGGAUCCAAUAUAAUGUUUCUAUCACUCGCUUUCUAAACCCUAAUUCAUUUCAUCCAGCCGCUACCCCUUCUUUCUCUCUCUGGUGAUUUUCAAUUUAGGGUUUCUUGCCUCCUGUGGUAUGAGCCAGAUCUUAUCGGAUCCAACAAUGGUGGUCAAGGCAAGUUCCAACAAUCCGAGAUCUAGGGUUUUAAUUUCAUGUCUGAGAUUUCAUGAUUCCACUUGGCUGAGGUAUCUUCUCUGGCGGCGGCAGUGACAAGGGUGUACGGGAGUUGCGUGUUUGGAGACUCGAUGAAAAUGGGUGGCACCGGCAUCAACAGCAGGCGGCGGCUAGGGUUCUGACCACGACCACCUGAUUAUCUACUAACAAAUAUUGGGAAUGUUCCUUUUAUUCAAGUUUUGGAGCUCAUUUUACAUUUGGGUACCGGUCUCGAAGAUUAUUCCAAGAUUUUGUUACGGAUCUGAUCUGGUAUGUUUGUGCAUCAUUCAUUGACCCAUUGUUUGUUGGCCCAGUUUCCGCUGAUACCAAAGCUGGUGAUGAUAUGUGUUGGGUUGAGCGACAGACAUGGAGGACGUAAAAAAGCUAGAAAAUUUCUUGGGGUGGGUAAAACCCUAACAACGUCGACGAAGCUGAACAGAAAACCCUAAUAAGGUUUUGACUUUAGUGAAAAAGGUAUAAUAUAAUUCUACAGAGGCGAUGUUAGUAGUGUUUUGGAGUUGUGGUUUCUAAGAAAGAGAAUAGAAAGGUGAGAGGGCGAUCAAUAGACAUAUUUGGUUUCAGAUAGACCAGUAGAGCAGAGCAUUCGAUAAAUGGUAUAGUUGGGUGAAUGGAUUUAGGGGAGUGGGCCCUCAACUGCAGGGUGGAAGUGUCCAUACAUAAGGGUAUCGUAAUCUCGAAACAAAUGUUGGUUAUGUAAGGUUAACUAAAUUAUACAGCAGGAAUUACAAGAAUGCUAAACGGGCAGCGGUGCUGGGUCGAUUAAGGCACACGUUGUAUGUUCUGGUGACCCUUGAUACAUACAUCCGGUUGUAGGUCAAGUUAUGGAUAAAUAUAUGAUUGAUAGUGAUGUUUCUGGAGAAAUAGGCGUUUUUGGGCGAAGGGUGUGAUCAGCAAGUUCAAAGUAACUAUGGUGAUGGUUUCUGGUGAUCAGCCAACAUCUCGGUCAAAAUAGAUUAAACUCGGGUCAACAAACGGUCAUCGGAAAGAUUUCACUUAUACGCGGACGACAUGACUCGCCAAGUGGAAGCGCAUAACUACUGCGGCCAUCUGAACAAAGACAUGCGGCAAUCUCUGAUCUACGACCGGCCCGAUGCCGAUGCGCGGUUGAUCAGGCUGGAACUCUUCCGGACACCGAAAAACCGAUGUGGCAUAGCCAUGAGUACGAGGUGAAGAGCGGCGUGCUCUUCCUUCCCGGUGUUCCCGGUCCGGUUGAACGAAAAGAUCUCGAGAAAGUGGCAAAACACGGGAAGACCAUACACUUUUGGCAGGUGGAUAGAGAUGAUGAACUGUCGCUCGGGUUACCGCAGUAGGCUACCAUAUGCCUAAAGGGAGAAACAGUCUUUGUUAAUAAAGGGAGUUGGUGAACUUUUCAAAAUUCAGUUCAAGUUUUUCACUGGCACAAGGAAGGGAUUGUUGCUGUGUCAUUGGGUGCUGAUUCAAAUGACCACCUUUGUACACCGGUGGAUGAUAUGGUUGUUGGUGGCAAAUCCGUAAAUAACGAGGCGCUAGGAACAAAGAUUGAUGCACAAACUUGCAACCCAACACCAUUGCUCACACCAUUCACGUCUACUGUCGAUCGAGCUCUGUUUUUGUCGAUUUGGUGAUUUGGGCCCUAUAUGAAAUCCUAACAAAAUGCAUGGCAGCCAAAGCGAUCGACGUUAAAUUUGGUCCCUAUUUGUUGCGUACAUUGUUAGGAAUGAUACCCGAGAUUUUCGUCGCAAUAUACAUGGGUAUAAUGAUCCGAACAUUGGCAGAUGCCUAAAACGAUCAUCAGUCACUUUCGGCACCACAGAUUAUCUGUACGGUUUUCGGGUUUCUUUUGACCAUUGCGACCACCGUGGUGGUCACCGUUUAUUGCAAAAGGCGGUUGAGUGAGUUGCAGAAAGAUGAUGAACAGCUACUGCUGCCAAAAGAUUUUGAAGAAACUAUGUGGAGGAACUAUCAAAACAAAGAAUGUUUUUCAUUGAUUUUUAGUACAUAAAUGAAAGAAAGAUUUGACCGCAUCUUUGUUUUGCUUGUUUUAUUCCGCUUAUACCCUCAAUAAGUUGUAUAUAACCGACAUACGUACUCUAUAAACGAUCCUUCCUUUCGGUUUC